GACGAACGCUGGCGGCGUGCUUAACACAUGCAAGUCGAACGGAAAGGCCCUGCUUUUGUGGGGUGCUCGAGUGGCGAACGGGUGAGUAACACGUGAGUAACCUGCCCUUGACUUUGGGAUAACUUCAGGAAACUGGGGCUAAUACCGGAUAGGAGCUCCUGCUGCAUGGUGGGGGUUGGAAAGUUUCGGCGGUUGGGGAUGGACUCGCGGCUUAUCAGCUGGUUGGUGGGGUAGUGGCUUACCAAGGCUUUGACGGGUAGCCGGCCUGAGAGGGUGACCGGCCACAUUGGGACUGAGAUACGGCCCAGACUCCUACGGGAGGCAGCAGUGGGGAAUAUUGCACAAUGGGCGGAAGCCUGAUGCAGCAACGCCGCGUGCGGGAUGACGGCCUUCGGGUUGUAAACCGCUUUCGCCUGUGUCGAAGCGUGAGUGACGGUAAUGGGUAAAGAAGCACCGGCUAACUACGUG
rnacentral:rRNA from 1 species